CCUAUAAGAAUAUUAUUCACGUAUGCAGUCAGUAUCUCCAUCUAUUGAACUCCUUGUUCGCCACACAUUUCCAAACGGGCAAAACUCCUGUGUCUUGAUCGCUGGAAUUCCUCUUCGACGUCUUCGUCUCGACCACUCCGAUUCCGGUCAAGAAAAGUUAUCGUGGUUAACUAAGUACCUUAACAGCCGUGGUUAAUUAAGUACCUUAACAGCCGAACAUCAUGCCAACUUUUUCCAACCACCUCGUUUUACAUCUCGAAUCACGCCUUGCCCCAGGUGAAAUCAGACUAUUUGCCAGUGGUAUCAUCUCGGGCCAAGAACCUCUGAGGGGAACUGCUUAUACAAAUCAAACGUCUCUCACAAGAUCAGGCUUGAUUUAAAAAGUUGAUGACGCAGCAACAACCUGCUCAAUGCGUGAUUUUGAAAGGAAUGUCUCACCCAGGCGCGAUUUUUUUUUUGUUCCUCCUACCUUCGAAUGAAGGUAUCAAAUUUCGUGAUUUCAAAGCUUGCUUUCAAAACGAAUUUCUCACUUUGACGCCUGCGAUUUUUUUUUUGCGAUCACCCCUGACAAAAGAACCAUACAUGGAGAAAAUUCGCGAGCUCCAAAUAAUAAAUUGUUCGAG
rnacentral:lncRNA from 1 species